rnacentral:rRNA from 1 species
CCUACGGGUGGCUGCAGUGGGGAAUAUUGCACAAUGGGCGCAAGCCUGAUGCAGCCAUGCCGCGUGUGUGAAGAAGGCCUUCGGGUUGUAAAGCACUUUCAGCGGGGAGGAAGGCGUUAAGGUUAAUAACCUUGGCGAUUGACGUUACCCGCAGAAGAAGCACCGGCUAACUCCGUGCCAGCAGCCGCGGUAAUACGGAGGGUGCAAGCGUUAAUCGGAAUUACUGGGCGUAAAGCGCACGCAGGCGGUCUGUCAAGUCGGAUGUGAAAUCCCCGGGCUCAACCUGGGAACUGCGUUCGAAACUGGCAGGCUAGAGUCUUGUAGAGGGGGGUAGAAUUCCAGGUGUAGCGGUGAAAUGCGUAGAGAUCUGGAGGAAUACCGGUGGCGAAGGCGGCCCCCUGGACAAAGACUGACGCUCAGGUGCGAAAGCGUGGGGAGCAAACAGGAUUAGAUACCCGUGUAGUC